GCUAAACCACAUGAAGGAUGGCAGCGGAAAUCCUCCCGAUUUUUCUUCGGGAGAUUAUAGCGAACAGCCUGACGCAGC
rnacentral:sRNA from 1 species